rnacentral:rRNA from 1 species
ACGCUUUUUCUUUCACCGGAGCUUGCUCCACCGAAAGAAAAGGAGUGGCGAACGGGUGAGUAACACGUGGGUAACCUGCCCAUCAGAAGGGGAUAACACUUGGAAACAGGUGCUAAUACCGUAUAACAAUCGAAACCGCAUGGUUUCGGUUUGAAAGGCGCUUUUGCGUCACUGAUGGAUGGACCCGCGGUGCAUUAGCUAGUUGGUGAGGUAACGGCUCACCAAGGCAACGAUGCAUAGCCGACCUGAGAGGGUGAUCGGCCACAUUGGGACUGAGACACGGCCCAAACUCCUACGGGAGGCAGCAGUAGGGAAUCUUCGGCAAUGGACGCAAGUCUGACCGAGCAACGCCGCGUGAGUGAAGAAGGUUUUCGGAUCGUAAAACUCUGUUGUUAGAGAAGAACAAGGAUGAGAGUAAAAUGUUCAUCCCUUGACGGUAUCUAACCAGAAAGCCACGGCUAACUACGUGCCAGCAGCCGCGGUAAUACGUAGGUGGCAAGCGUUGUCCGGAUUUAUUGGGCGUAAAGCGAGCGCAGGCGGUUUCUUAAGUCUGAUGUGAAAGCCCCCGGCUCAACCGGGGAGGGUCAUUGGAAACUGGGGAACUUGAGUGCAGAAGAGGAGAGUGGAAUUCCAUGUGUAGCGGUGAAAUGCGUAGAUAUAUGGAGGAACACCAGUGGCGAAGGCGGCUCUCUGGUCUGUAACUGACGCUGAGGCUCGAAAGCGUGGGGAGCAAACAGG